GUGGCUGCGUUCGCGAGCACUCACUUCUCUCCAUUGAAUCCCGCGUCGGAAUGACAACGACGCCAUUGGCUGCAGCGACGAGGAAUUCUGAUUGGUUACGGAUGAGAGAACUGCCUUUAUUGGCUGGCAUAAAAACGAACGAGCAUUGCGAUUGGACAGCUGAUGAGGAGAACUCCACGAGGGCGGGCGACGCUGGGAGCUCGACAUCUCGACCCUGAUUUAACCUGUUCGAACUCUAUUAAGAAGCGAUUAUAAAAACGUUAAUUAGACUUUACUUAAAGCUUUAUUGAAUUCUUAUGUCUAACUUACUUGAUAAGGAAUUUGAUGUUCCCUAUUUUUUUCUUCUUUUGAUUGUUCAUAUUGUUAAAUAUUUCCUUUUCUGUUUUCUGCUUAACUUGUUUCCAAGACUGGCUGCACUCUCCUUUUAGGUUAAUUGUUUUACAGUCUAAUUUUGAAUUUUUUUUCUCUUCUUGUUAGCAUUUACUUCUUUUUUUUUUCAUUACUUCUUCCUAUUUUUAUCUUAUCAAUUUUCCCCUUCGACUUAUCAGCUGUUUCAAAGUUUUUUUUUUUGAAGUGACCUAAGGAAAUUAUCAUUUAGUAUUUUGUUAAAAUAUAGUAUAUAUAAUACAAUUUUCCUUUGAUCUCUCUCUCUCUCUAACUCAGUUUGUCUCUUCCUGUCAGUCUCUCUCUCUCUCUCUCUUUCUCUCUGUCCUUCUCUUUUUCUGUCCAUCUGUCUCUCUCUCUCUUUCUCUCUGUCCUUUCCACUCUCUUUUUCUUUCCAUCUCUCUCUCUCUCUCUCUUUCCCUCUGCCCUCUCCUUUACCCCUCAUCUCUCCUCUCUAUAUCUUCUGCUGCUUUCCUGUUGUGUUCUACCUCCGUCUCUCUCUGUCUCUCUUUUUCUCUCCCUCUCCCCCCCCCUCUUACUCUUUUAUUAAGGCUUUACUCUUUGCCUUUCAAUCUCUCUCUCUCUCUCUCUCUCUCUCUCUCUCUCUCUCUCUCUCUCUCUCUCUCUCGCCAUUGUGUCUACCCUAUUUUCAUAUGUUUCUCCUUUUGCUUCUUGCUUUCUCUUCUUCCCUUUUCUCGUUUUUUUUUUCUCUCUUAUUGAAUAUUUUCACUCUCGAUUAAUGCAUAUCUAUCUUCACACAUUCAUCAGUACUAUUUUCUUGUUUUAUUUCUUCUUAUCUAUCUCUUCUUCUGUUUAUAUUUCAAGCUGAUCCCUUGUGUAUAUAUUUAUAAUCAAUGUUAUUUUUGCAUGACACAUAAUUUUGCAUGACUUGUUAUCAGUCAAAUUCAAACGUCUGUAAGCAGGUAAGCUAAAUAAUUUAGUCAAUUGUUCACAUAUAAACUUAAACAAUCAGCAACUUUUCAACAUGCCAAGAAAGAGAGAGAGAAAGAAAGAAAGAAAAGAACAGAAAGAAAGAAAAAAAAAACAA